GACGAACGCUGGCGGCGUGCUUAACACAUGCAAGUCGAACGAAGUGGCGAACGGGUGAGUAAUACGUGGGUAACCUGCCCUCCUUUUUGGGAUAAGCCUUGGAAACGGGGUCUAAUACCGAAUAAAGGGGGAAGGGCUCGCGGCCUAUCAGCUUGUUGGUGGGGUGAUGGCCUACCAAGGCGGUGACGGGUAGCCGGCCUGAGGGGGUGACCGGCCACAUUGGGACGGAGAUACGUCCCAGACGCCUGCGGGAGGCAGCAGUGGGGGAUAGGGCACAAGGGGCGAAAGCAUGCUGCAGGGGAGCCGAGGGGGGGAUGGAGGGUGUCGGGUUGUAAACCUGUUUAGCUAACGAACGGGUAGGUAAAGAAGAAGCGCCGGCUAACUACGUGCCAGCAGCCGCGGUAAUUC
rnacentral:rRNA from 1 species